CUUUUCUUCCUAGGAUGUUUAAAAAAGAAUCCUCUUCUAUUUCUAUAUCAGAUGCUCAAAUCAUAAUUUCAUACAAUGGGAAAAUGGAAUGGUUUGCUUACUUAACUAUUGUUUUUGUGUGAAUUUGCAGCCGGUGUUGUGUUUCUAAAGUAAUCAUAGUUGACCAGAAAUGUUUCUUCUCUGAUAACUUCUUCUUUUUCUUCUUUUUAUUGUUCAGUUUGGAUCAUUGGGUUCUUUUAACAAGGUUGUUUCCUCACUAAUUCGGAUGAGAGGAUACAAAUUUGGUAGUUACAGAAGUCGUUCAAAAUUUGGAGCUCAUGAUUUAGUGACUUAUACGAAGUGGCUUGAGAACUUAUGGUGAGAAGAUUUUCAGAUCAAAGCUUGAGCCAAUGUGAUGGAAGAAACACUAAAAAUCUAGAGAAAUUGAAACAGGUCAUCGUGGUGAAGUGGAAGAAGAAGAAGAAGCAAAAAAUACUCUCCAGUCUCCACCUUACUUUUUUUUUCUUCUGUACCAAACUCUCAACCUUAGAACUGGUUUUAAAUGGGCUGUAUCAAAUUGAAAUUUAAAUGGUGUGAGUAGGAAACCAUAGGGACAUAAAAUUUAGGUUUCUCUACUUCAAAUAUUUCUGUGUUUCGAGCAAUAUACCGAAUAUUCACGUAUAAAAGAAAGUUUUCAAUCCUU